AUUGAACGCUGGCGGCAGGCCUAACACAUGCAAGUCGAACGAGUGGCGGACGGGUGAGUAAUGACUGGGAAAGGGCCGGAGGGAGGGGGAUAACUACUGGACACGGUAGCUAAUACCGCAUACAAGAAGAUGUGCCCAGAUGGGAUUAGCUAGUUGGUGGGGUAAAGGCUCACCAAGGCGACGAUCCCUAGCUGGUCUGAGAGGAUGACCAGCCACACUGGAACUGAGACACUGUCCAGACUCCUACGGGAGGCAGCAGUGGGGAAUAUUGCACAAUGGGCGCAAGCCUGAUGCAGCCAUGCCGCGUGUAUGAAGAAGGCCUUCGGGUUGUAAAGUACUUUCAGCUGGGAGGCGUUACCCGCAGAAGAAGCACCGGCUAACUCCGUGCCAGCAGCCGCGGUAAUAC
rnacentral:rRNA from 1 species